UCUCCGUCCCGAAAUAAGAUGUUUUAGAUACAAUAUUUUGACUUUUCGUCUUUGAAAUUUUUUUGUGAUUAAUAUUUUUUUUGAAAAUAGAUGAUAAAAUAUGAAUAGUACUGUAUACAUGACUAAUUUUUUUAAGUUUUUGUACAAAUUUUUUAAAUAAGACGAAUGGUCAAAGCAUUGAGCAAAGAAAUC
rnacentral:pre_miRNA from 1 species